rnacentral:tRNA from 1 species
CCCAGAGUAGCUCAGUCGGAUAGAGCGCCACUUUCGCAAAGUGGGGGCCGUGGGUUCGAAUCCCACCUUUGAUU